rnacentral:rRNA from 1 species
CGGAAGGUUACUAAGACUGGAUAGGAAACAAAAAGGCAUCUUUUUGUUUUUAAAAGACCUUCUUACGAAGGUAUGCUUAAAGAGGGGCUUGCGCCACAUUAGUUAGUUGGUAGAGUAAAAGCCUACCAAGACGAUGAUGUGUAGCUGGACUGAGAGGUUGAACAGCCACAUUGGGACUGAGACACGGCCCAAACUCCUACGGGAGGCAGCAGUAGGGAAUUUUCGGCAAUGGAGGAAACUCUGACCGAGCAACGCCGCGUGAACGAUGAAGUAUUUCGGUAUGUAAAGUUCUUUUAUUGAAGAAGAAAAAGUAGUGGAAAAACUAUAUUGACGUUAUUCAAUGAAUAAGCCCCGGCUAACUAUGUGCCAGCAGCCGCGGUAAGACAUAGGGGGCGAGCGUUAUCCGGAAUUAUUGGGCGUAAAGGGUGCGUAGGCUGUUAGAUAAGUCUAUAAUUUAAUUUCAGUGCUUAACGCUGUCUUGUUAUAGAAACUGUCUUGACUAGAGUGAGAUAGAGGCAAGCGGAAUUCCAUGUGUAGCGGUAAAAUGUGUAAAUAUAUGGAGGAACACCAGAAGCGUAGGCGGCUUGCUGGGUCUUUACUGACGCUGAGGCACGAAAGCGUGGGUAGCAAACAGGAUUAGAUACCCUGGUAGUCCACGCCGUAAACGAUGAGUACUAAGUGUCGGGGUAAAACUCGGUACUGAAGUUAACACAUUAAGUACUCCGCCUGAGUAGUACGUACGCAAGUAUGAAACUUAAAGGAAUUGACGGGACUCCGCACAAGCGGUGGAUCAUGUUGUUUAAUUCGAAGAUACACGAAAAAUCUUACCAGGUCUUGACAUACUCUGCAAAGCUAUAGAAAUAUAGUGGAGGUUAUCAGGGAUACAGGUGGUGCAUGGUUGUCGUCAGUUCGUGUCGUGAGAUGUUAGGUUAAGUCCUAAAACGAACGCAACCCUUGUCGUUAAUUGCCAGCACAUAAUGGUGGGGACUUUAACGAGACUGCCAAUUAAACAUUGGAGGAAGGUGAGGAUUACGUCAAAUCAUCAUGCCCCUUAUGAUCUGGGCUACAAACGUGAUACAAUGGCUGUGACAAAGAGUAGCUGAAACGCGAGUUUUUAGCCAAUCUCAAAAAAGCAGUCUCAGUUCGGAUUGAAGUCUGUAACUCGACUUCAUGAAGUUGGAAUCGCUAGUAAUCGCGAAUCAGCAUGUCGCGGUGAAUACGUUCUCGGGGUUUGUACACACCGCC